rnacentral:rRNA from 1 species
CGGGUGAGUAUGUCUGGGAAACUGCCUGAUGGAGGGGGAUAACUGCUGAAAACGGUAGCUAAUACCGCAUAACGUCGCAAGACCAAAGAGGGGGACCUUCGGGCCUCUUGCCAUCGGAUGUGCCCAGAUGGGAUUAGCUAGUAGGUGGGGUAACGGCUCACCUAGGCGACGAUCCCUAGCUGGUCUGAGAGGAUGCCAGCCACACUGGAACUGAGACACGGUCCAG